rnacentral:rRNA from 1 species
AGCAGUCGCCGCGGGAAUACGUAGGGGGCAAGCGUUAUCCGGAAUUAUUGGGCGUAAAGGGCUCGCAGGCGGUUUCUUAAGUCUGAUGUGAAAGCCCCCGGCUCAACCGGGGUGGGUCAUUGGAAACUGGGAAACUUGAGUGCAGAAGAGGAGAGUGGAAUUCCACGUGUAGCGGUGAAAUGCGUAGAGAUGUGGAGGAACACCAGUGGCGAAGGCGACUCUCUGGUCUGUAACUGACGCUGAGGAGCGGAAGCGUGGGGAGCGAACAGGAUUAGAUACCCGGGUAGUCCCUGUCUCUUAUAC